rnacentral:tRNA from 1 species
GAGGGUAUAGCUCAGUGGUAUAGUGUGUGUUAGUGUGCACGAGGUCCUGGGUUCAAUCCCCAGUAACUCCA